UUUGAGGAAAGACGAAAAGCCAAAAGUUAUUGUCUAUGAUAGUAAGAUAGGAUCGGAAAGGAUAGGAUAUGAACAGGAUAGGAGAGUUUAUUGUUAUUGCUGGGCAAUAAUUAAGGUUAGUGAUCAUGAACUUAAAAGUAAAACCAAUUAACAUAACUGUGCGUUUAUCUACAGACAUGGUUCCAUGAUGGUUUUAUUUAUUAACACAUUCCAAGCUGCUAUAACAGACAAAUCCUGAAAUUGCACUGACCUGAUCCAAUAGAAAUACAUUUCAGUAACAUAAAAUUUAAUAAUUAGUGGGACAUGGUAGAGUGUAAUCCCAGGUCAUACAAUCCCAUCUCUCAGUGAUACUGGCUGGUAGAAGCUCAACCCUUGUUUUCCAAAGUCAUAUUGGUCAUUGAUACCCAGUUGGAAAUUUGUGGAAAAGAAAAAAAAAUUGAUUUUCAAGAAAUUUUAUAUAUGUCUGGCCUGAAAGUGGCAUGCAUCAUUUCUUCUCAUAUGUCAUCCACUAAAAUUCAAUGUCAUGGCAGCACCUUAAGCCAACCGAUGCUAGUAAAUACUGUUUAGCUUUAUAACUAGGAAGAAAGGGAAAUAGUUUAAUGAACUAAUAGGCAAUCCCCAUGUAAAGGGGAGACAUCUCUGUCCAUGCAAGCAGAGAAUGAGGCAAACAAUUUAAUCAGGGUUUUCAUUUUUUUCCAACAGUACCAAGAAAGUAAAACACAAAGUGGUCCCAAACAUGUGCAAGGAAUUAUUAUAAUGACUGACCUUGAAUUUAAACUGUAUAAAGAAUAUAUGGAAAGAGAAAGCGUGUUAGGACUGAUGCACUGAGGUGCCUGGAGUGGUGAAAGGAUUGUUUAAGCUGUCAUCCUAGUGAGCAUUGGCUGGCAAGGGAGGAGGUGUUGGUUGGAGAAUGUGAGGUUUGAAAUUGAAAACCUGGAAGCAUUGCAGUGUUGGCCUUUACAAAGAUAAGAGCAUGACCCUAAAAGUUAGUUUCCAAGACACUGUACAAGAUCAACUGGGAGAGAGUCUGUGAAGGAAUUUAGAUCCAGGACACUGACAGGUGACCUGUGCAGAUAUUGAAAGGUUGAAGAGCACGAUGGAGAUCCAGGUGCCAAAAUCUUUGAGAAGAAAUGUGAAAAAUAAGAGCAGUGGAUGACUUGGAAAGCAAUUUAGCAAAUAGAAGGACAUGAUUCAGUGGUUGGUUGUUGGCGGUGAAGAUAAAGGAAACAUCAAGAGUUAAGUCCAAGUUUCUCACUUAAUGUAAAUGGUGGAUAGCCAGAUAGCCUCUUGGUUUACAGGAGAGAAGCACUCCUUAAUAGUAACCAUCUUUUUGUCUCUCAUCUACAGAAAAGAAAACAGAGAGAUUAUAAUUGAUUGACUCAAAUUCCAGCUAGUGCAGAUUCACCAAUCCCUUCCUCACCAUCUGACACAGCUCAUAGUUUUAACAAUUACCUUUUUCUAACUUCUAACCUAAAGUUGUAAGCACUGCUCAGAGUAAAAUAGGCCAAAGAACAAGAAAUUGGUUUUUGAAAUUAGUGGCAUGGAAUAAUCAUUGAUGGCAGUAAGAGCUGUUUUGGCAGAGCGCAUAUGCACACAGGACAUAAGGCUGAUAGAAUAUGUAAGGAGAGAGUGGGGACAUAUAUACACAUUUUGGAUACUCAAGAUAUCUGUCAACAUAAACAGAGAAAGAGAGAAGAGAGGGUAGAGGUAAAAUUGGGGUCAAGAAAAGUUUUGUUUUUGUUAAUUUUGCUUUGUCUUAAAGAUGUAAAGAACUUUUUAAAUGCUUAUAGGAAGGAAGUGCUGGAGAAAGAGGAAUAGAUUACCUGAAACACAAGAGAUGAUUGACAUCGUGUGCUUCCUGGGAGAGUGAAAGGGAUUGAAUGAGGGGUAUGGGUGGAAGGACUGGACUUAAACAUGGUGGGGGACAGUGUUUCUUCCUUUGAAAAUGAGGGGAGGAAGUUAAGAUAGAUGAGGAUGUCCUCUUAUUGAGGGAUUUAAUGGUGUCUCAUCUAAUACUUUCUAUUUCUCUCUUUCAGGAAAUAAACUGACCUGAAAGAUGAGUCUGUCAUGGUAUAAAUUGAGGCCAAGAAAAGAUAUAGAAUAGUUGUGAAUAAGUGAGGCUAGUGAAAAAUAAAUAGAGUAGGAUAUGCAGGUACUGUUAGUGACCUAGAUGACAAUGGGUAAUAAUAACAUCACUCGCCCCUAUUUGUUAUUUCCUCCAGGAUUGUCCAGCUGCCCAAGACAUAGAAAAUGGAUUCCUUCAGGAUUUACUUUUGCUAAAUGAAUGCAAUGAAAAGACCAAAGGAUUAAAGUUCACAAGGAGGAAAAAAAGAAUAACUGAAAUAAUGGAGCAUUGGAAUCUAAGCUGAAAAUGAGGGCUGGGAAGAUAAGAGGUGUCUGUGGUUAUGUUUGUGAUUAUAGUUCAAUUUAAGGGGAAGUAUUUCUGCCACCAUAGAAUGGAAUCAGAUAACAUGGAAUCUUUUUGGUCUGGCUCUUUAGAUCAGCAAGAUGAUCUUGAAAUUUAUCCAUCUUGGUGAGUAUUUCAGUAGUUUUGCUUCCUUUUAUUGUUGAGUAGUACUCCACUGUAUAAAUAUUUCACAAUUAUUUACUUAUUUUGGACAUUUUGGUUGUUUCCACCUUGAGGUCAUUAGGAGUAAAUUUGCUAUAAACAUUCAUGCAUGAGUCUUUUUGUGGACACACAUUUUCUUUUUUUCUUGGGUAAAUACCUAGAAAAGACUUAAAAGAGAAUUACUUGGUCCACUUUUUAAAGGUAUAUUUAACUAUAAGAAAUUGCCAAAUUAUUUUCCAAUUGUUUUAUCAUUUUAUAUCCCCAGUAACAGUGUAUGAAAGUUCUAGUUGCUAUAUGCAGAUGAUACUGUCAGGUUUUCAUUUCUAUAAUUGUAGCUAAUCUAAUAGACAUAUAGUAGUAUCUGACGUUGUUUUAAAUUUGCAUUUCCCUGACGACUAAAGAAGUUCAACAUCUGUUUCUGAGCUUAUUAGCCAUUUGUACAUCUGUUUUGUGAGGUGCUUGUUCAAAUUAUUAUUAAUAUUUUGGUCUUGUUAUUGUUGAAGAAUUUCUUACUGUAUUCUGAAUCUAAGUCCUUUAGCAGAUGUAUGUGUUAUGAAUAUUGCUUUCAGCCUGAGACUUGACUGGUUUUUGUUUUUUUGUUUUGUUUUGUUUUGUUUUUUUAGUAGUGUCAUUAGCAGAGCAAAAUUUUUACUUUUACUUGAUUCCAUUUUUAAAAGUUCUUUUGCGGGACCCAUACUGUUUUUGUCAUAAGAAUUCCUUAUUUACUCUCAUGCCUCAAAGAUUUUCUUAAAUUUUUUUUUAACUGUUCAGAAAUGAAACUGUCCUGUGAAAUAUUGAGCAACUUUUUCUUCUUUAUUGAGGGGGAAGUUAGGCCAACUGUAUGUUAAAUUGUGUCUUAGUGAGUAUUUUUUAAAACAGUUCCUGAGAUUUUUCUAUGAAAAAAAAGAUAUUUUUUUUCUAAAUUACAUAGUUGAAUCAGCACAUACUCCUCAGAAAAUAUACCCUCCAUUAGUAAGAAUAAAUAUAGUCCAAGAGCAAAUCUAAAUGCCUCACGAAAAAUAUUUAUAAGAGCCAUCCUUCUAAAGAUGUCCUAGGCACCAGAAGAUCAUUCUCGAUGGAACAAAAAGGCUCUAUGAAAAUGUAGCACCCACCUGGGCCGUAGAUAAUGGCAGAAUAAGGGCAAAAAGGCAGCAUCCCGUGCAGCAUGGUAUAAAAAGGUACAUGGAGGCCUAUUUAUUAAAAGUAGGGAUUUUAGGCAACAGUAGGCUCUGCCACUUGGCUGGAGAUUAGCUCCAUUUUAGGAUCAUAGUGAGGCCUAUGACUGCAAAGAUAGCUUGGAAGAGUAUUAACUGUGAUGUGAAGUGCUCACUAGGUUUUUCCUGGAAGAACACACCCAUUUCAAGCAGAGAAAGAGUAGAGUCAAUCAGGUGCUUUAGAAAGGCUAUUGGCAGUGCCUUGGUGAGCAUGGUGCAAGAGGUGAAGACAGACACCUGUCGGGAUUCAGAGGGAGCAGACUCCACUUCCCCUUCUACAGGCGUGCACGUCCGGUCUCUGCAUCAUGAUUGUCAGUCUUUUGCGAAGCAUUUUAUUUUGCAAUUUUGAAUAGAAAUGGAAAUAAGAGGCUCUCCAGAGAAAAAUCCUGUGCAAGCAAAAUGUGUUCCAGCAAGACUCAUGAAAGCACUUGAUACUGUUAUCUACUAGGAGAGCGAAUGAAAUUAUCACUUGAUAAAGCCCAAAGAAAACUUGAUGGUUUCAGAUAAAACGAGUGAUCUUCGCAAAGGAAAAGUACUUCACAGAAGCCGGAAAUUGGGACACCAAAGGGAGGAAGCUGGUUGUGCACCAGUAGCUGUAUCUCCAUCUCUUCCAGGAUGGUAGCUCCUCCUCUUUCCUACUGGUCCCUUGGCUUGAAGAUCCUGAAGUGCCUAGGAAGCAGCACAGCCUUAAAUUCAGUGGGCUGCAUUCCCCUUUGAGAAACAAGUCAUCUGCCCCCCACAUAGCUCAAAAGAUUCAAAGAAAAGAAGUGCUCAUUUUCCAAGAGGAUAAUGCACAAUGAUGGUACCAAGACCCACCAAUUUUGUGUACUGGGGACAUAAUACCAUAUGACAAAUCAUUGAUUUAAAGUGUAUGCCACAUCCUAAAUGAUUAGCUUUGUUUUCUAAAAAUUUUUUGAUCACUCUCUCAGAACUUAAUCUUCUGUGGAGUACGGUAUGGGAUUCAAUCACCAGAUUCCAUGGACAUGUGCCCACUGCCUCACUUUCUUUGCUGUAAAGUGGUUGUAUUAGUCAACUUUUUUUUACUGUGACCAAAAUAUCCAAUAAAAACAACUUAGAAGAGGAAGAGUUCAUUUUUGGCCCAUAGUUUUAGAGGGUCUGAACCUAAGGUGUAGCAGAGCAUUAUGGCAAUAGGCAUGGCAGAGGAAAGCUACUCACCUCCUGGUAACCAGGAAGAAGAGAGACAGAAGAGCCAAGGACAAGAUAUAUUAUAACCCCAAGGCACAAGCACAGUGACUCACCUCCUCUAGCCACGUCCCCCCCCCCAGCUUCUUACAGUUAUCAUCAUUCAAGUUAUUAAUCCAUCAGAUGGAUUAAUCCACUAAUUAGGUUAUGGCUUUCAUGAUCUGAUCAUAUCACCUCCUACAUUAACACAGAAGCUUCUGGGGGACACAUUAUAACCUAAACCAUAACAGUGGGUAUCCUCAAUAUUGUGCCUAAAUUGUACACUAACAGGAGUGAAUGGAAGGAGAUACACUGGGUCGUCAUUGGUUAAUGACAUGGGGCUCCCAGACUUCGGGCCCUCCUUUAUUCACAGCUUACUGUAUACGCUAGCCUUCUGACUUCAGAUGUGCCACUCCUCAACCUGGUGAGAACUGAUUGGAAAAAGUCAUCCUCCAAUCAAAAUUGGACCUAAGAAGUAUAGCACAUCGUCCCUUACAUGCUCUAAUGAUUUCAGAUGCUAACUAGAUGUUUUCUCAUUGUUCCCUACCCAAGACUGAUAUUAUUGUUCUCUCUCAGAAGAAACUGAGCUUCAGAAGAAAGUACCUUCUCCUCUGCAACUGUCUAGCUUACAUCUUCCAUGUAUUUUCAAAAAUAAAGCCACAGAACCCUACAAAAUAGAGAACCCUUCUUCUGUAAACGAUUUCAUUUAUUCUAAAUAUUUCCACUUCUUUCAAUUGUGCAUGUUUCUCAGACGAGUUACCCUUCCCUGUCCAAACUCAGUUCACCAAUGUCCCUCCUAAAGUUUGAGGUUAUUUACCAUGAAUAUAUUUAUAAGCAAAGCCUCCCUAAUUCUUUUCACUGAAGCUUAUAUUUCAAAAUGAAGUAUAAAACUUUACAAGUUUUUCUCCUAAUUAAAUUUCCUGUUCUUAGAUUUAGCCUCCUGUUCCAGACUAUGAAGCAAUGUCAUAGUUCUGGGAUCUAACCCAUUAUUCAGCUGAAUGAACUAUAAAAAGUACACUGUGCUAGUGUGAGAAAUGUUUCCGGUCUUAACUGUUACCAUUCAUUCUCCCUGCUGUGCGGGAAGAAUUUUACAGUAUUACUCAAUCACAAAAAUUCUAUUAAUAUUAUGGAAAUAAAAUAUUCAACAAGUUUUUGAGUUUAUGCAUACCAAAUGUUAGCAACUACCAAAAAUGUGCUUUAGCUUUACUGAGUAACCUUCAGAUACAAGAAAAUAGAAAGGGGCCAGGACUUUAGGACCAUGUACUUAUAAGUACAACAAAAAAAAAGACUCACAUGUCUGAAUCCAUCUGAAGUCCUUCAGAUGAGCCUCCACAACCUACUGGUGGGCCUCCAAGUAGAUGUUGGGAAACAUCAUUCUACACUUAUGUCAAUUUGUUAAUCUGGAUAUUCUGAAUAUACUGCAUACAGCUAGAGGGUUUUUUUUUUUUCAUUUCAUUCAAGGUAGUAUAAUAAGAUGUCCCUUUCUUCUUUUUCAUCUCUAAAUGCAAAGGGUUUAUAUUUGAGUCUACAAGGGAACUGAGUCAGUUAAAGAAAAAGUGAGGUAAGAUUGGCAUUCCUGGGACGUACAUCCUAACAUCUGUAACACCACCCUGUGCGUCCCCGCCUGCCUGUCCUCAGAGGCAUGGUGAAUACCAUAAAUUUUGAAUAUUUACUACCCUAUCCACAAUGUCUGCAGAAACAUGUGUAUCAAUCAUACAAGACACAUCAUUCCACCAAAGUUUUAAUGGUAUAAAAUGAGUAUCUAAACAAAUGGCAUAAAAGCUGAUUUUUGUAUUUUUUAAAAUUUAUAUUUUUCCCAUAAACCACAAUCUAGUCCAUGUUAUUUCCUGAAUCUGCCUCUGCCCAACAUAAUCCUUUGUUUAGGAAGCUUUUCAUUGUGGAUCAUGGGUGUAUAUAGGUGGACCACUGAUCCUGAGCCUACGUAUCCAUGAUGAUGACAUUCAGUUAGUCUAUUGAUUGAAAUAAGCUUGAAAAUACUGUGUAUUCUACUAAGGUAGAUUUUCCUGUUCAGAGAGUACAUAUAAAUACACCUAAGAUUGGACUCUCUGU